CAGAAGCAAACACCAAACGGCUCACAUCAUCGAAGAGAACAAAAGCUUUUCCUACCUCUCAACCUCAUCUUCCUCCUCAAGCUUCUCAUUCCUGCUAUUGACCCUUCUCUCAAUACCUCCUCUAGACUCCUUCUCUAUCCCAGUCUAAAUCCUCUCUUCCUACCCUCUAUUCUCUCAAUUGUAGUUUGAAUACUUGUGUUGAUCGGAUAUUGAGGUGUUUGCCGAGCACGGGUGGUGAAUUGGGGGUGUUCCAGUGAUUGAUUGGUGUGUUGGAUUGAGUGGGAUCGUAACACCUUGACAUCCACCUAGGCCAGGAUGUGAAACUGGGAAACAUCUUCCUGAUAAAUGAGACGUCCUCCCAUGUAGCUUCAUCCUACGACAAAUUUUGCCAAUGAAUUAGCCAUUGCGCCACAGGUUCUCCUUUCCUCGACACAAUCCUUCUAUCCAACAAAGCAAUGGGUUCAGUUUUAGACUUCACAUUCUCCCCCACCAGUGGCACUCUCGGCAUAGGAACAGCUUCCUGACCAACAUGCUUUUUCAAUUGGCUAACGUGGAAGACAAGGUGAAUCGAUGUCCCCUCAGGUAGUUGCAGUUAUAGCUACCUGGCCAAUUUUCUCCAGAAUUUUGUAUGGUCCAUACUACUUGGAUUUGAGUUCCAAAGAGCCCCUCAGUCCAAUAUGCAUAUAAGGCUGAACCUUUAGGUAUACCAUAUCACCAACUUCAAAGUGACUCUUGCUUCAUCAGAGAUGUUACAUGGUAAGGAAAACUCACCUAAUUGGGGUGGAGGAUACCCAUACAAGGCUUGGAAGGGGGUAAAUUUUAGAGAAGUGUGAUAAGAAGUGUUGUACCAUCAUUCUGCCAUGUGAAGCCAGGUAAACCAGUCCUUGGGCUCCAAAAACACCAUGCUUCUGAGAGGAAGGAGCAUUCGAGGAAGACCCCGAGGAUCCGGAGUUUGAAGAAGGAGUGGACGAGGACUUCAACGAAGGCAAGUCCUAAAACUAUUGAUCAUAUUGAUCCUAUGUUUUCAAAUACAACCAGUAGAGCCAUUGUAUCAAACAAUAGGGAUAUGCAUGAUUAAGUUAAUAGUUGUGAUUUUAAAUAAAUGCUAGAAUAGUUUUGACCUAGCUUGAUGUUGUUACCUUUAUUCCGUUGAAACCCUAGAAAGUCCCCAACAUCAUCUAUAAUGAUUGUUUGGAUGAAUGCUUGUUUACUAGUAUGUUUAGGAUUGCUUCGCUCAAAAGAAAGAACUAGAUUAUUUGCAUAUGUUAAUCAUGUUCUUCGAAAAUGUGAAGUGAUGUGUGCUUGGUUCGUGUGCGUGUAAAACUUGUGUUCUUGGGGAAAACUCUAGAGUAGUGUUGACGAGGGUGAGUAAAGUACCCAACAAAGGUGGGAACUACCUUGGGGCAAGGUUCGCCUUUGUGGCGUUCUUACUGGGAGACUUGCCUCGAUCGUAUAAGGACCGGUUCGCUGUGACAUCUUACCCAGUAUCCACUCGUACAACCACAUGGCCUGAAUGGGUAGAACUUGACCUAACUCCUCCGUCUUAGUUCGGUACCUACCCGGAGGCCGGUAGUGGCAAUGGGGACCAGGAGAAGACUUGGAUGGUACGUAGCCUAAGGUCCGGCUGAUGACAUUGUUAAGGCUAUGUCAAAACCUUGGGAUUGCUAAGUGGUCCUUCUCGUGGAUCUUCUAAGGCCCCUAGUAUCUUAAUGCCCUAUGAGAGGAUAUUGUGACUAUGUUGUGAGGUCGUUGCGUCUCGUUAUGACAGCUCCACCAGUUGCUAAGGUGGGAGCCUGUGCAUAUCUUAUAGGUAAAGUGUACAACCUCUGCAGAGUAUCAAACCUAUCCGAAUAGUCGUGUCCUCGGUCAAGGAUAUGCUAUGGUUUGGUCACAAUGAUUAGCUUUUUGGCGUGAGUAUCUCAUUGGUGUGUGAGUGGGCAGUGUGCCCGUGUUUUCGAAAAGAAGGGUUUGGCUUUGUGCCCUAAGCAUCCUGGACUGUGUGUCCACCGGCAAAAGACUUGUGAGAACUAGCGGGAUGAAAGUAUCUCCCCCAGGGCCAUCAACCCCUAUAAGCUCAACUUACGUGUUCCCUUUAGAAAUGCUUUUUGAGGUUGUCUUUGCAAAAUGAACCUUGCACCAAAAACUAGUUUUCUGCAAAACCUAAAAGACUCUACAGCCUUAUCCUUGAUCUACCCAUAUACAUCUAAUAUUCCCUCUUUGAGGUAGGACUUGCUGAGUACCUUAUGUACUCACACUUGCUAAUUGUGGACUCAGAUGAUCUAGAGGCCGACUUCGUUGAAAGGGAAGACGAAGAAUAGAGAAGCUGGUUUCGUUUGCACUCAAGUUGCCUGUAGGGCAUGUGUUGCUUUUACGUUGUUUCUGUUGUGCUGUGAGGGUUUGUUGAUUUAUACCUAUGGGCUUUUAUUGUAAUGAACUCUGUGUUGUACCCUAUUAUCGUACUUAAUCGAUGUAUGUCUGUGAUGUCUACUUCUGUUAGAAAUUGUGCGUACCAGCUACUGAUCCAGAAACUGGUAUAAGCUACACAAGGUGACCCGAAGGAGGGGUCUGACAAUAUUCUUCCUUUAUAUGUGAUAAUUCCAUCAUCUAUUGAGUAGUAACUAGACUCGUUUGGACUUACACUAAUGAGUUAUGGGAUGUUUUGACAUUUAAGAUCGGUGGUAUAACUUUGCUUAACAUCUUCAAUCCAAUAUGGUUUACGUAGUGUAACAUUUUGGCAAGCUACUUCUCUUCUAAAUAAAGCAUCAGCUACUAAGUUUUCUUGUAUUUAACUGAGUAGUCAAAUUGAAGCAACUUGAGCAACAACUUAAGCUGAAUUCCAUCAAUUAGCCUUUGAGUUAUAAUAUAUUUUAGACUCUGUUGGUCCGUCUUGAUUAUGAUAUUGCUUCCAAUAAGAUAAUGUCUCCAUUUCUUAAGAGCCUCCAAUAUAGCCAUGGCCUCUUUGUCAUAAAUGGAUUGGCCUGCUAAUCUGCUCCCUAAGGUUUUGCUCAUGAAGGCAAUGGGCCUCCCAGAUUGCAUCAGUAUAGCUCCAAGGCCAGAACUGCAAGCAUCAGUCUCCAAAAUGAAAGGCUCUUUGAAAUUUGGAAGAGCCAAUCUUAAGAUAGUAGUCAUAGCCUCCUUGAGCUGAUCAAAAGAAGUGAUCCGUGUCUCUUCCCAUACAAAUGCAUCUUUCUUAAAAUAUCAAACAAGGGUCUACAGAUUUGACUAUACCCCUUCACAAACCUUCUGUAGUAUCCUGUGAGUCCCAAGAAACUUCUCAGCCGAGUUACAUUCUCUAGUCUUGGCCAUUUUACUAUAUUUGCUAUCUUGCCAAGGUCGGUUGAAACCCCCUCACCACUGAUAAUAUGCCCCAAGUACUCAACUUGUCUCACAGAAAAGACACAUUUACUGAUCUUAGCAAACAUCUAAUUCUUCCUUAGAACAUCCAAGGCAAGCUGGACAUGAUUCCUAUGUUCAUUUUCAGUCUUGCUAUGAAUUAGGAUAUCAUCAAAGAAGACUAGAAUGAAUUUACCUAAAUAUGAGCCAUAGAUGGUGUUCAUAAGGGAUUGAAAGGUAGCUCAUGCAUUGUCAGACCAAAAGGCAUAAUUGUAUACUCAUAAUGACCUAGAUGAGUUCUAAAAGCAGUUUUGGGAAUAUCUAAUUCCUACAUUCUGAUUUGGCGGUAUCUAGACCACAAAUCAAGUUUAGUAAAUAUAGUGGCUCCAUGCAAAGCAUCCAAUAGGUCUUAUAUCACAGGCAUAGGGAAUUUGCUCUCAUUGUCACUAAGUUUAACUCUCUGUAGUCGACACAUAGUCUCUAAGAACUAUCUUUCUUUAUAACUAUGACAGCAGGUGAAGAAAAAAUGCUCAAGGUAGGUCUGAUUACCUAAGUUUCCAUGAGAUUUUUUAUCAACCCUUCCAUAGCCUCUCUCUUAUAAUGUGGUACUUUGUAUGGACUGAGGUUUGCUGUUUCUACACCAUUCUUCAUAUGUACUGCAUGAUCACAAUCCCUCUUAGGAAGCAUCUCUUUUGGAUUCUUGAAUACAUCUGAGGAACUACUCACAAUAUUCUCCCUUGCUAUAUUCCCUUCUUGUAUUAUGUUCACUUGAAUUACGCAUCCCAUCACUCCCUUGUUUAUCAUCUUCUCCAGCCUAGCAGCCUUCAACAUGCAUUUGCUACCUAGAAUAGUAUGAUCAGUAAAGACUAUUCUCAUUCCACAUUUAGUUACAGAGAACAACCUCUUUUGUAAAUUCAGCUCCACUGGACUAUACUCAAAAAUUCAAUCUGCUCACAAUAAGAAUUUGUGAAUUGUGUGCCUUGUCUACUAUAGUCCAUGUUGUUCACUACAUCAUCCUUUAUUAAUUCUCCUGCUGCUGCUACUAUGACCUUUUUUUUUGCUUUGACAUAGCUCAAUGGACAGUUUGUAUCCGCAACAAAUUCAUAACUCAUGAAGGUAUCAGUACCGCCACUAUCAACCAUAGUAACUGCCCUCUUGCCAUUGAUAUUUGUGAUCAGUGAAAAUGUCAUGUGACUAGCUGUUCCUUUAACUGCAUGUGUGGAUAUCAUGUGUUCCUGAUCUUCAAUUUGGGAGGAUGAGCUGGUUUUCAGGGUUUCAGGUGGACUGCUUAGAGCAGUUACAAAUACUUGUUGUGAAUUUGUCUCUUCCCCUUUAUCUUCAAGCUCCUCUCUGGACAAUUCCAAUAAUAUUGAAUGUAACCUUGCAAUUGUGUUGAGGAUUCCAUGGCUCUUUACACUACCAGCUAGUUUUUCUAUUUAUGUCCACCCUAUGGUUCUUUUCCAUAAUUUGAGCUCCUCCUUUUGGGGUACAAUUCUUGUUACUCCAAUGGACACAUGAUUUGGUCCAGUGGUGUGACCCGAGGCCUUUUGAAAUUGCUGGACAUUUCAAUAUGUUUGGCAUACCAGAAUGCUUCAAGUAGAUUGUUUGGUUGAUGACAAGUUACCUGGUGCUGAAUAUGACUCUUUAGCAUAAAACAUCUCAAGAAAAAGGACUCUUGCAAGUAGGGGUGUUCCUUCUUGAAUAGGGUCAUGCAUUUUUCAAACUUGUCUAUAUAUUGCACUACUGACCCAUAUUGUUGUAAAGUCUGAAACUUUAUCACUGCCUCAUGUAUUACAAGAGUGGAGAAUUUGUCUUGCAACAUUAUGCUUAAUUGGUCACAAGUGAUCAAAGGCCAAGGUACUCCCAAUCCUACAAACUAGUUCUCUACCUUAUCAACGAAAUGGGCAGUUGCAAGGUUAACCCACUAAGCAUAUGGACUACCUGUCACCUCAAAGUAACGCUCACACUGCCUAAGACACCCACUGGGUUUUCACCACUGAACAAAGGAAUCUCCAUCCUAGGACCUUUACUGAUAGCUUCAGCAUAAUUUUGGUUGUGAUUAGAAACUAUUUCUCCCUGAAUUCUCUAAGGGUCAACUGGCUGAACUCCAGGAUAACCUUGACCGCAUGUCCUCUGAGCACCCCCAACUACAGAACUCCCUAAACUAUAUGGAUUAUACCAGGGUAAACAUGGAUAACUACUUUCUCUCGGAGGAAUUACUAUUGGAUGCAUAGAUACACUGUAUACAGGAGAAACAAGUGGGCAUGAUAGCUGAGCUAAUCCAAGGUUAGACCUAGUGCUCUCCAUUAAUAUUAAAUCUCUAGACUCGCACAAAGGCACAUACAUGGCAUGAUCAGUAGAAUGCAUGGUACUGGAUAGAUUACCCUCUUGAAUACUUACCACUGGUUCACCCAACCCAUGGGGUCUUCUGCUACUUUCUUCAGUCUCGCCAGAAGUAACCUCUUGAUCUUGGCCACAUCUGCCCUCAAGUGCCGAAGCUCCGCUAGUUCUCUCUUGGUCUCAUUCACUUCGGUCCACGAAGCUUCUUCCCUGGACAACCCCAUCUCAACCAGUGGUUCACAGGCGGUUCAACUUGUUCCUCCCCUUUAUGCUGGUGAACCUCGAUCUACCGUCACUUAAGGACAGAGAUCAGUUGAGGGAUUUUACACUGGAACAAGUCUGGAAACCCAAGCUUGAAUAUGUCCUCCCUCUGACGCCACCGUUGAAAAAUCAACCCCGGGCUCCUAGAAUUUUAUACCCGAACAACGGCGAGCAACCCUCACCCUAGUUGAAGUUUCCGCCAUUUAUUCUUGAACCUCAUCGAGGAUCUGGGAGGCUCUGAUGCCCUUUGUUAGAUCUUGCCAAUGCUUGAGCUAAAUCUGACAAGAACUCGUGCACGUGACAGUGGAGAAUUUUUGGGGAAGUUGGAGAAUCGGCAAGAACAGGUAAGAACACCUGGAGGAACGCUGAAUACGCUAACCAACCUAAAAGAAUAAUAUGAUUCCAACUCACUUUUCCAUUUCUACCACUCCCAGUUUUAGCAUCCAGGUUUACAGACAAAGCUCGGUUACAAAGUCUCAAAACGACAGAUAAAACGGUAACGACAAACGGCUUAGCACCACAGUAAUUAGUCUCCAUCGUCCGAUCCUCUGGGACCUCGCUGAAGACCGUCCGAUGCACAUAAACGAACCGGGGCUCUCUGCUCUCUCCUCGUCUGACGCGGGACGCCUCGACGCCACCUCACAAAGGCCUUCAAUCGCUAUCUCUGCUGCUAGCCCGGGGCUCUCUGCUCUCUCCUCGUCUGACGCGGGACGCCUCGACGCCACCUCACAAAGGCCUUCAAUCGCCAUCUCUGCUGCUAGCCCAGCGCGAACUGCGACUCGCAGCACCUGGACGCUCGCUUUUCAGCUCAAGAUGCCCCUGAGCCUGCCUGGCCUGGCCUGGCCUGGCCUGCUAGAUGCCGCAAACACAUGGCACCUGCAUGUAUCCGUAAUUCCGUUCCUUAUAGAUCUGUCGAUUCACGGAGGAGUCAGGAUCACGAAAGAACAUCUAUCGCUAUCUCUGCUGCCGCCAGACUCGAACCCUCCAUGAAGGAAGAAGCUUUGCUAGGUGCAACAGAGCUUGUAGUAGACUGUGGACGACUGCAGUCAUGACACUGGCAGUGGCCGAUCGAGUGCUUUCUCCUCGAACAGACUCCCUUUGGAGAAAGGCGAAAGGGGAAUAGAUGAGCCCACAGACUCCAUCCUGCACAGCAAACCGCGCCCGCGGUUCCUUC